rnacentral:rRNA from 1 species
UUGAUCUCAAAUCAGGUAGGACUACCCGCUGAACUUAAGCAUAUCAAUAAGC